rnacentral:rRNA from 1 species
UACGAAGGGGGCUAGCGUUGCUCGGAAUCACUGGGCGUAAAGGGCGCGUAGGCGGCCGAUUAAGUCGGGGGGUGAAAGCCUGUGGCUCAACCACAGAAUUGCCUCGAUACUGGUUGGCUUGAGACCGGAAGAGGACAGCGGAACUGCGAGUGUAGAGGUGAAAUUCGUAGAUAUUCGCAAGAACACCAGUGGCGAAGGCGGCCAACUGGACCAAUACUGACGCUGAGGCGCGAAAAGCGUGGGGGAGCAAACAGG